rnacentral:rRNA from 1 species
UAGUCCUAGCCGUAAACGAUGGGCACUAGGCAAUGGGCCCUCCUAUGAGGUUCAUUGCCGUAGCUAAUGUGUUAAGUGCCCCGCCUGGGGAGUACGCUCGCAAGGGUAAAACUCAAAGGAAUUGACGGGGGAUCACACAAGCGGUGGAGCAUGUUGUUUAAUUCGAAGCAACGCGAAGAACCUUACCAGGCCUUGACAUGGAUGGAUUAGCUCCCUGAAAGGGGAGUGACUGCUCUUCGGAGCCGGAACAUUCACAGGUGUUGCAUGGCUGUCGUCAGCUCGUGCCGUGAGGUGUUGGGUUAAGUCCCGUAACGAGCGAAACCCUUAUUGUUAGUUGCCAGCGGGUAAUGCCGGGGACUCUAGCGAGACUGCCGUUGUCAAAACGGAGGAAGGUGGGGACGACGUCAAGUCAUCAUGGCCCUUAUGGCCUGGGCUACAAACGUGCUACAAUGGUCCAUACAAAGAGUUCCGAAGCCGCGAGGUGUAGGCAAUCUCAUCAAAGUGGGCCCCAGUUCGGAUUGC